UGCUUUUUUGCCUUGUUGGCUGAGGUGUCUACCCCCGGGUGUACCUGGAAUGCCAUGUGAAGUUUUGUAGGUCAGAAAUCUGGCAGAGGUCUCAUUGGGCUAAAAUGAAGGCAUUUGCAGCGUGUAUUCCUUUCUGGAGGAUCCAGGGGGGCAUAUCAGCUCAUCAUUGGAUCAUCUGCUUAUACUGACCAGUGGAGUCCUAAAUACUCUGAACCUACUUGUUGAUUGUGGGAGUAUCUGAUGCAAUC